rnacentral:snRNA from 1 species
GGAUGUGAGGGCGAUCUGGCUGCGACAUCUGUCACCCCAUUGAUCGCCAGGGUUGAUUCGGCUGAUCUGGCUGGCUAGGCGGGUGUCCCCUUCCUCCCUCACCGCUCCAUGUGCGUCCCUCCCGAAGCUGCGCGCUCGGUCGAAGAGGACGACCUUCCCCGCUAGAGGAGGACCGGUCUUCGGGUUCGGUCAAGGGUAUACGAGUAGCUGCGCUCCCCUGCUAGAACCUCCAAACAAGCUCUCAAGGUCCAUUUGUAGGAGAACGUAGGGUAGUCAAGCUUCCAAGACUCCAGACACAUCCAAAUGAGGCGCUGCACGUGGCAGUCUGCCUUUCUUU